AGCUCAUACUGUUCUCUUCCACAGGUCCUGCGUUGUAUCUUCCCAAGUGGCGUGGAUGUGAGGAGACACGACAUUUCACCUGAUGUUCCAUGGGAGACCCUACUGGUGAUGUGGACCUGACCCUCCGCCAUGUAGCAGACAACCCCCUCAGGUCCUGCGUUGUAUCUUCCCAAGUGGCGUGGAUGUGAGGAGACACGACAUUUCACCUGAUGUUCCAUGGGAGACCCUACUGGUGAUGUGGACCUGACCCUCCGCCAUGUAGCAGACAACCCCCUCAGGUCCUGCGGUGUAUCUUCCCAAGUGGCGUGGAUGUGAAGAGACAGAUCCCCUGAUGUUCCCUGGGCAAUCUACUUACAUACAAUUCAACUGCAUUACAAAUUUUAAUAAAAACCACAGGAAACUUCUAUUUUUAAAAGUUUAUU